rnacentral:rRNA from 1 species
GAUAUAGUGGAAAAUGAGCAAGGGUCUUCGCAUUUGACUCGACGAGUGCGAAGGGUAAGGAAGCUAGCCGAGCCUAGGAGGAUUCGCUUAGGUAGCUGGAACGUAGGGUCUCUGACAGGGAAGCUUCGGGAGCUAGUUGAUCCAGCGGUGAGGAGAGGUGUUGAUAUCCUUUGCGUCCAAGAAACCAAAUGGAGAGGACAGAAGGCAAAGGAGGUGGAGGAUGCUGGCUUCAAGCUGUGGUACACGGGGACGGCUGCAAACAGAAAUGGCGUAGGCAUCUUGAUCAACAAGAGCCUCAAGUAUGGAGUGGUAGACGUCAAGAGACAUGGGGACCGGAUUAUCCUGGUCAAGCUGGUAGUUGAGGACUUGGUUCUCAAUGUUAUCAGCGCGUAUGCCCCGCAAGUAGGCCACAAUGAGAACACCAAGAGGGAGUUCUGGGAAGGCCUGGAAGACAUGGUUAGGAGUGUACCGAUUGGUGAGAAGCUCUUCAUAGGAGGAGACCUCAAUGGCCACGUGGGUACAUCUAACACAGGUUUUGAAGGGGCGCAUGGGGGAUUUGGCUAUGGCAUC